UAUAUUAAAGUUGUUGCAGUUAAAACGCUCGUAGUCGGGUUUCGGGUCGGGCCGAGCGGUCUGCCGAUGGGUAUGCACUGUUUGGCGCGGCCUUCUUUCCGGAGACCGCGGCUACUCUUAACUGAGCGGGCGUGGGAGACGGAUCGUUUACUUUGAAAAAAUCAGAGUGUUUCAAGCAGGCAGCUCGCUCUUGCAUGGUACAGCAUGGGAUGAUUGAAUAGGACUCCGGUGCUAUUUUGUUGGUUUCGAACACCAGGAGUAAUGAUUAACAGGGACAGUCAGGGGCACUCGUAUUCCGUCGAGAGAGGUGAAAUUCUCAGACCAAUGGAAGACGAACCACUGCGAAAGCAUUUGCCAGGGAUGUUUUCACUGAUCAAGAACGAAAGUUAGGGGAUCGAAGACGAUCAGAUACCGUCGUAGUCUUAACCAUAAACCAUGCCGACUAGGGAUUGGAGGGUGUUCGUUUCGACCUCUUCAGCACCUUACGGGAAACUAAAGUCUUUGGGUUCCGGGGGGAGUAUGGUCGCAAGGCUGAAACUUAAAGGAAUUGACGGAAGGGCACCACCAGGAGUGGAGCCUGCGGCUUAAUUUGACUCAACACGGGGAAACUUACCAGGUCCAGACAUUGUUAGGAUUGACAGAUUGAGAGCUCUUUCUUGAUUCGAUGGGUGGUGGUGCAUGGCCGUUCUUAGUUGGUGGAGUGAUUUGUCUGGUUAAUUCCGAUAACGAACGAGACCGUAGCCUGCUYAAUAGUCCCGCGAACUUCUUGUUGGCGGCCGACUUCUUAGAGGGACAACUUGUGACCAACAAGUGGAAGUUUGCGGCAAUAACAGGUCUGUGAUGCCCUUAGAUGUUCUGGGCCGCACGCGCGCUACACUGAAGCACUCAACGAGUCCACCUCGACCGACAGGUCUGGGAAACCUUUUGAAAUUGCUUCGUGAUGGGGAUAGAUUAUUGCAACUAUUAAUCUUCAACGAGGAAUUCCUAGUAAGCGCAUGUCAUCAGCGUGCGUUGAUUACGUCCCUGCCCU
rnacentral:rRNA from 1 species